UGACUGACGAUGGCGGUAUGCUUAACACAUGCAAGUUGAACGAGAGCCUAGCUCUAGUAGCGGACGGGUGAGUAAUACGUGAGAAUCUACCUUUAGGAGGGGAAUAACAAUUGGAAACGAUUGCUAAUGCCCCAUAUGCUGUAAAGUGAAAUGAUAUUUCGCCUAAAGAUGAGCUCACGCCUGAUUAGCUUGUUGGUAGGGUAAUUGCCUACCAAGGCUACGAUCAGUAGCUGAUUUGAGGGGAUGAUCAGCCACACUGGAACUGAGACACGGUCCAGACUUCUACGGAAGGCAGCAGUGGGGAAUUUUCCGCAAUGGGCGCAAGCCUGACGGAGCAAUACCGCGUGAGGGAUGAAUGCCUAUGGGUUGUAAACCUCUUUUAUUGGGGAAGAAUUUUGACGGUACCCAAUGAAUAAGCAUCGGCUAACUCCGUGCCAGCAGCCGCGGUAAUACGGGGGAUGCAAGCGUUAUCCGGAAUCAUUGGGCGUAAAGAGUCUGUAGGUUGCAUAAUAAGUCUACUGUUAAAUAUUAGAGCUCAACUUUAAGCAAGCAGUAGAAACUAUUAUGCUAGAGUAUGGUAGAGGUAGAUGGAAUUCCCAGUGUAGCGGUGAAAUGCGUAGAUAUUGGGAAGAACACCAGACGCGAAAGCGAUCUACUGGGCCAUAACUGACACUGAGAGACGAAAGCUAGGGGAGCAAAUGGGAUUAGAUACCCCAGUAGUCCUAGCCGUAAACGAUGGAUACUAGAUGUCGUGCGUAUCGAUCCGUGCAGUGUCGUAGCUAACGCGUUAAGUAUCCCGCCUGGGAAGUACGCUCGCAAGAGUGAAACUCAAAGGAAUUUGACGG
rnacentral:rRNA from 1 species